CAGUAGCCGCGGUAAUACGAAGGGUGUAAGCGUUAAUCGGAAUUACUGGGCGUAAAGCGUGCGUAGGCGGCCUGGGGCGUCCCAUGUGAAAGGCCACGGCUCAACCGUGGAGGAGCGUGGGAUACGCUCAGGCUAGAGGGUGGGAGAGGGUGGUGGAAUUCCCGGAGUAGCGGUGAAAUGCGCAGAUACCGGGAGGAACGCCGAUGGCGAAGGCAGCCACCUGGUCCACUUCUGACGCUGAGGCGCGAAAGCGUGGGGAGCAAACCGGAUUAGAUACCCCGGUAGUCCCUGUCUCUUAUAA
rnacentral:rRNA from 1 species